ACCAGCCAGUGCGCCCGCAGCCCACUUCCUGUAAACCUGCUGCUGACAGCUUGCUCCUGUGAUGGUCUCUGUAGUCUGUCCCUUGACCAAGGAGCCACUUUUCACCCAGGGUGGCCAACGACGGACAGAGCCAGGGUACAAAUGCUCCGUCCUGCUUCGAAGUACAGUUCGGAAGGUGUGGCUUGUAACCCAGAGCCCCCGCUGAUCAGACCAAGGUUUGAGGCGAGCCCAAGAGUCUGCAUUUUCAACAAGCUCUCAAGUGAUGCCAGUGUGGCCGAUCCACAGACCACACUUGGAGUGGCAAGGGUUUGGUGCGUGGUAACUGUCUCCUCUUUGCAUUUUCUGCUUGAUACCAGAGAAACCAACUACUGAAGAAGGAUACCAGCAGAGCCUGUAGAGAGAAACAGAGCACAAGUGGGGGAGGGGCAGAGAGAGAAGGAGACACAGAAUUGGAAGCAGGCUCCAGGCUCCGAACUCUCAGCACAGAGCCCGAUGCGGGGCUUGAACCCACAAACUGCGAGAUCAUGACCUGAGCCGAAGCCGGAGUCUUAACCAACUGAGUCACCCAGGUGCCCCUCAAAUUUUUUUUUAACGUGAGGAAAAAAUGCUCAUCUUGGAAUCGAUUCAUAGCAAGUAAUCAUGGAAAUGUUUUUGUUGAAUUUCUAGAGGGAUCAUAGGAGUAACAUAAUAAAGAUUUCAGAGUGGAUUUCAAAGAUAUAAUGUACAUUUACAGCAUGUUAUCCAGCAUUUUACAUUGUUGACUCAAACCGGGUUGUCAGAAGAAUGACCUCUUGAUUUCUUGCCCACAGGACAAACAAAGCUGUGUGAAAUAUCUUUAAAUACCCUUAAGAGUUAUAAGAUCCUAAAGCUAUGAAAGAAUGCAAGGUCCCAUAAAGUUAAAAAGUUUUUAAUUGCUACAUAGAAAAUACAUUUACUUAUGUUAGAAUCCCAUCUAGUUCAGAGGUCUUUAGAGUUAGACACACACACACACACACACACACACACACUAUUGGAUUCAAUUGUGUCCUUCUUCCAAUUCAUGUGUGGAAGUCCCAACCCCCAGUACCUCAGAAUGUGAACUGGGAAAUAGAGUUACUGCAGAUGUGAUUAGUUAAGAUGCAGUCAUACUGGAGUAGGGUGGGCCCUUUCUUCAAUAUGUGUGGUGUCCUUAUAAACAGGAGAAAUUUGGACAUAGGCGAACACCUGGGGAGAAUACAAUGUGAACAUUGAAGGCAGAGUGAUCCGGACGAUGCGUCCACAAGCCAAGGAACAUCAAAGAUUGCCAACAAACCAAACCACCAGCAGCUAGGACAGAGGCACAGGACAGAUUCUCCCUCAGAAGGAACCAACCCAGCCGACAUCUUGAUUUUAGACUUCUAGCCUCCAGACGUAUGAGACAAUGAGUUUCUGUAGUUUCAGGGACCCAGUUUGUGGUACUUUGUCACGGCAGCUCUAACAAACUAAUAGUUUACAUAUCUUAUGAGCAAAAGAAACGCCACAUUCAAUCCUAUGACCAGCCUGGGUGGAAAUUGCAGACUUCUGUGAGGAGGCAGAAUUAAACAGUGUGAGUCAGGAGACAAGGAGCCUUUCAACAUUUUGGAACCCAUGACACAAUGUCUAUAAAAAGACAGUCUGACAGUGAGAAGAAUUGGUUUGGAUGUCCGUAGCUCUGACCAAAAUCUCUGAUGGUUAGAAUCCUCUAAUAAUGAACGUGCAAAUUGCCAUUCUUAGUGGCUGGGCAACAGUUGGGAUGACAGCACCCUCCCCAGUCUUUCCAUCCCCGGAAGACUGAGAGUCUCGCAUGGAAAGAUUUAAGAGAAUCAAAACCAGGAUAUUAGUAUGUUUUACAUUAAGAAAGGAUCUGAGUGCAUUUGAUAUAUGCCAGGUAUCCUUUGUUUUUUCAUAGAGCUUACUAUCAUCCAAGCUAGAGGGGCACAGAGCUUGUGCUGACCCGAGGAGAGGGGAUUGUCAUGUUUUUAGGAAUUUUGCAGCUAUUAAUACGCAAUGUUCCAAUCUUUGCAAUUACGCAAAAAUUUGCAAUGAUGGCUAGUGCUGUUGCAACCAUUAGUGCUGAAGCUAAAUUAAAUUUAGUAAAUAUAAUUUGUGUGAGGGUGAGAAACCGUCUAAAGAGAUGAUAUGUCAGAUCUAAUGGCUAUACUUUUAUUGGGAAAAGAGCAGACUGGGAUGCAACCCUAUUGGCCAAACCAUGGUUCAACUGCAAGCAUAGUUUGGCUACAGACACAAGACUUUGGCAAAACUCCUCAAAGGCAUUCUGUGAACACCGAUUGACUCUAUGGAAUUUGUAAUAAAAAGUCUUGCAUAUUUUCUUAUUAUUUGGAAGUUGUGUGUUACAUGUAUUUACUAUCAUUUCC